rnacentral:sRNA from 1 species
GCGAGGAGGCCAGGCUUUGCAACCAUCUCCAUAAAGAAGGGGCAAGUUCGAGGACGGAAAGCCCACUCAAAGGGCGGGGGGCGGGGCCUGGCAAGAGGGGGUGUGGCCAGGAUCCCAGGCAGUAAAUUGUGAGGCGGGGUCUGGAUGGAAAGGCGGGGCCCGCUGAAAGAAGGCGACCCGAGUUCUACUUCCUAGUAAGGGACGUCUCUGGAGAGAUCCUGAGGUUUUUGAGGCCACCCAUGGGCCUUGGCCCCGCCCCCUACCCAUGGCUGGCAGAUUCGUGGCCCCACCCAUCUCGAAGCCCCUCGGCCCAGGAACCCAGGGGAAGCUGCUGCCCUAGCAAUCCUGACCCGGACGACAGAUAUUACAAUGCUCAGAGCCAGAGGAGUGGUGCCCGCCAAUGCCUGAGAGAAGUCACCUGAUGGAACCCAGCUCCAGUGGGGGGUGCCCGGUCACUCCAUCCCUAAGGGAAACCCCCUCUCCCACGCCUUCCUAUGGACAGCAGUCCACAGCCACUCUUACGCCCUCACCUCCUGACCCUCCCCAGCCCCCAACUGACAUGCCCCAUCUCCAUCAGAUGCCCAGGAGGGUGCCUCUUGGGCCGAGUUCCCCUCUCAGUGUAUCCCAGCCCAUGCUGGGCAUCCGUGAAGGGAGGCCUGCUGGCUUGGGUGCUGGCCCUGCAGCCUCACCCCACCUCAGCCCC